UGACUGGCACCAUUCUGGA
rnacentral:piRNA from 1 species